UACAGAGGUCUCAAGCGUUGUUCGGAUUCAUUGGGCGUAAAGGGUGCGUAGGCGGCGCGGUAAGUCGGGUGUGAAAUCUCGGAGCUUAACUCCGAAACUGCAUUCGAUACUGCCGUGCUUGAGGACUGGAGAGGAGACUGGAGUUUACGGUGUAGCGGUGAAAUGCGUAGAUAUCGUAAGGAAGACCAGUGGCGAAGACGGGUCUCUGGACAGUUCCUGACGCUGAGGCACGAAGGCCAUGGGAGCAAACGGG
rnacentral:rRNA from 1 species